rnacentral:rRNA from 1 species
UAAAGAUUCAUCGCUGAUAGAUAGGCAUGCGUUCCAUUAGGCAGUUGGCGGGGUAACGGCCCACCAAACCGACGAUGGAUAGGGGUUCUGAGAGGAAGGUCCCCCACAUUGGUACUGAGACACGGACCAAACUCCUACGGGAGGCAGCAGUGAGGAAUACUGGUCAAUGGGCGUAAGCCUGAACCAGCCAAGUCGCGUGAGGGAUGAAGGUUCUAUGGAUCGUAAACCUCUUUUAUAAGGGAAUAAAGUGUGGGACGUGUCCUAUUUUGUAUGUACCUUAUGAAUAAGGAUCGGCUAACUCCGUGCCAGCAGCCGCGGUAAUACGGAGGAUCCGAGCGUUAUCCGGAUUUAUUGGGUUUAAAGGGUGCGUAGGCGGCCUUUUAAGUCAGCGGUGAAAGUCUGUGGCUCAACCAUAGAAUUGCCGUUGAAACUGGGGGGCUUGAGUAUGUUUGAGGCAGGCGGAAUGCGUGGUGUAGCGGUGAAAUGCUUAGAUAUCACGCAGAACCCCGAUUGCGAAGGCAGCCUGCCAAGCCAUGACUGACGCUGAUGCACGAAAGCGUGGGGAUCAAACAGGAUUAGAUACCCUGGUAGUCCACGCAGUAAACGAUGAUCACUAGC